rnacentral:lncRNA from 1 species
UGUCAAAAGUAAGUACCUACGUCCUUGUUCCUUGACGUGAUUAAGUUCUCCCAAGCCAAGCGUAAAACGGAGAAAUAAGCUCCUUAGUUAUUUGACAAGAAAGUAAUAGUAUUUUUUUAAACUACAACUAAAAAGGAUUCUAGCUUUUCAAUUAUGUUUACGGACUCUGAUGUUUUAGAUCUUGGUGUUUGUCUCCGACUUCUCAAGAAAAUCAUAGUUUGUGUUCCCAUAUUUAUCAUGCUCACCAUUUAUUUGGUACACAAAUACCUCCCUUAUAAGGAUAAGGAGUCCAAUUCAACUUCUUCAGCCACGGCUCAAGAUUCAUGGAGUUGUGAUUAGAAAAACAAAAAUUAGAUGAACUAUGGAGCAAUCAACAUCAACCAGUUUAUCAAUAGAUGGACUCAGAUUGAAGAUGGAAGGAAUGUCAGACCGAAAAGGACAUUUUUAAUCUAGUUCUUAAUAGAGGGGAUUUAUAGGAAAAUACAAUGAAUAACUCAAGACAAUGGCCUCAAUUAAAUAAAAUUAUAUAAUUUUUGUUCAUAUUUUAAACAAAUUUCUAUUUACAUAUUUAUCUAUACAUUUUUAAUUUGUCUCAAGUGCUUAUAUAUUUUUAAUACUGUGUAUUAAUCUUUAUUCCAUCUCUCCAAUUAAGAAUAAGAGAGGUUUAAUGUAGCACCAUAUAAUUAUGGGAUUCACUAACACAUAGAUAAUUAUUCAGGAACAAAUAGAAAGAUUAUAAUGAAAACGUAA